GAAGUCUACUUUCUGUAUCACCAGAGGUUGUCGGAGUUGGGUCCACUAAAAACGUACAGUGCUAAAUCACAGCAUAUGCUGCCUCGGAGGAAAAACGCUGAAGACUGGACGAACAACAGUAUAUGGGCGCCCCCUAGCGUUUGGAUUAUUUCUGCCUGAUAUCGCUCUUUAAGGUGGAAGAGCCAUCUUAAAUGGAAACUACAUCGGUCGCUCGCCUCUCACAUACACCAAACUAACAUGCGCCUAUUUUAAUCUGAUUAAUGCUUUUGAGAUUUCCUUCUAAUUGACUUGGACGUUGCAGAGGUGCGCUUGUAGGUCUCUUCCACACAUUUUCUCCACAGUGUUGUUCACGCACUGGAGUAUUGCAGCGUUUCGGUUUAUUUUGGCCAGUUUAUUGAAACGAUCAAAAGUGAGCACCGUACCUCAUCUCUGACCAUUCAAAUGCCUGUAUGUGAACAAGACAGCCGACAGCAAUGCCGCAGAAGUAAAUUAUAGCGUACCUAUGCAAAGUGGAUUUUACCCCAAGAUCAAGCGUAGCAAUUAUACCAGACUGCAGCGAGACUGAAGGGAUACUCAUGACCUGUUACACAAAGUGUACUUACUACAGAAUGUAAAGCGUCAUACUGAACUUAUACAGGUAGAAUACGACGUUCUGGCAGACUAGCUGUGCAUUGUCUCAGACCUCUGCAGGACUGUGACGAGGGCAGAGGACACGGACACUGUGAGAACCGAAGAAUGCUGAGCGGUGACGUUGACAUCAACACCAAAUGCAUGAUGGGAGGAGGAACAAAGUAGGGAAAGUAGGGAAGGUAGGCCUUAAUGUAUGCUUUUGAACCACUGGAUCAACUAACCUGUAAUAGAUUCUUUUAUAGGCAAAAGGAUCAUUGGCUGACAACGAACUGCUUGAAAUCAACUAUGUACGUAUUGUAAUUCUACAUAUACUGUUAUGAUGCAUGAUUAAAUAAUGCAACUGAACAAGAAAUAGCACUGUAUUUCAAGAAAAGAAAAUCUUCUCUUGAUGACAAUAGUAGAAAUGUUUUAUUAUCUACUGUACAAUAAUUUUUGCCAAAAGCACAAGUAAAUAAACAUGGGUCCUGUAUGCAUGUUG